AAUUUAUGUAUUUUAAAGUAUUUAUUUUUCAGAUAAAUGUCGUCGUUGAAAUCCUGAAACCCAGACUCACUCAACCUCGAUGAAUCUUGAUGAUAUUGAAGGUCGAGACAAGAAUAAAGAAGAUGGGAGCAAAUCUUUCUAAAAAGAAGAAGAAGCAUCAUGAAUCUCUUCUCACUCAGACAAGAACAGUUAUUGGGGACGAAUCUCCGCCGCAAUCUCCUCGAUCCUUGAGCUCCACCCUGUCCUCCUCCGCCCUCACGGCGGAGUUUAAGGCGUUCCUAGCCAGACUUGACUCAGCGGAU